AUCCCUCCGUAGGGGUAACCUGCGGAGGGAUCAUUACAGAGUUAUCCAACUCCCAAACCCAUGUGAACUUAUCUCUUUGUUGCCUCGGCGCAAGCUACCCGGGACCUCGCGCCCCGGGGGGCCCGCCGGCGGACAAACCAAACUCUGUUAUCUUCGUUGAUUAUCUGAGUGUCUUAUUUAAUAAGUCAAAACUUUCAACAACGGAUCUCUUGGUUCUGGCAUCGAUGAAGAACGCAGCGAAAUGCGAUAAGUAAUGUGAAUUGCAGAAUUCAGUGAAUCAUCGAAUCUUUGAACGCACAUUGCGCCCAUUAGUAUUCUAGUGGGCAUGCCUGUUCGAGCGUCAUUUCAACCCCUAAGCACAGCUUAUUGUUGGGACUCUACGGCUUCGUAGUUCCCCAAAGACAUUGGCGGAGUGGCAGCAGUCCUCUGAGCGUAGUAAUUCUUUAUCUCGCUUUUGUUAGGCGCUGCCCCCCCGGCCGUAAAACCCCCAAUUUUUUCUGGUUGACCUCGGAUCAGGUAGGAAUACCCGCUGAACUUAAGCAUAUCAAUAAGCGGAGGAGGGAUCAUUAGG
rnacentral:rRNA from 1 species